CGAAAUUGCACUUCUAGCUCCUCAACAUGAAUUGUUGGUUGACCGGUAUGAUAGACUCAUCAUGCCAUAUACCGCCACAGAUUUGCAACCCCAAAAUGCGGCGACGAAGGCAAUCAAUAAUGCAUUGAAAUCCAAAUUCCAAGCUUCAUAUCUCAACUGGACGGAGGUCAGGGCAGAUGAACGUGGAUAUCAACAAUUUUGGAAUGGCUUCAGAUCGCAAGUAACUUGGCUAA